rnacentral:lncRNA from 1 species
GGACCUUGUGCUUGAGCAGCAGGCGCCAGAACCACUGAGCUAAAUCCCGGCCCAGGGCUUUUUGUUAUUGUACAGUACUGAGAAUUGAACCUAGGACCUCAGGCUUGCUAGGCAAGCACUCUGCCACUGAGUCAUAUCACCAGCCCUCUUCAGGGUAAAUGAAACUUAGCAGCAUGAAGACUUUGAGGGCAUUUGGUAUAAAUCUUGUCAUAUCUACUUAAAAUGCUUUUGCUUUCUUUCCAUUUUCUGCACAUUUAAAGGCCAUCCUUCUUAAAGGAUAUAAACAAGACCCUUCCUGAUCUGAUUGUAGCUUACCUCUCCGCCAUAGGUAUUCCUUUAAUGGUCCUUCUCAUGCCUGUAGUCCCAGUGCAUCCCUCAGCUGAUAACUCUUAUGCCCAGCUUCAGCACAGCUUCCCAUCCCUGUUGCCUAGUGGACUUCACUUCAGACAUGUUAAACUUGUUAUAAUUGGAGGGUGGGGAGGGAGGAUUGAACUUGGAGUCAGGAAACUGAUUCUUCUACUUUCCUAUUUGACUUUGGACAAUUCACUUCACCUCUCAAGUCUCCUUCCCCCAGUGGAAAUAAUUACAUAAGUAAUACAAACUGCUGCUUAGGGUUGGUUAGAGGAGUAAAUGAGUUAAUAUAUACUAAAGAACUUUGCAUUACUACAGCAAACAUUAUUGAAACAUUUUUCUUUUCCAGUGUUAUCACUUAGCAGUUAUUGGUUAGUUAGCACUGAGUAAGUAAUGGCAUUUACCAUUCACGAGGCUCUAUAAUCACCUUGUUGGGGUUCAUGUCUAACAGUUUUUACGGUGUGUGAUGAUUGACAAGUUAUCAGCCACUCUGUUCCUCAUUUUCUUCAUCUGUAAAAUGAAGCUAAUAAAAUCUUCUUUUAAGUCAUUAUGAAGAUAACCCAAGUUAAUAAUUAGCAUGUGAAACAGAGUACUUAAUAAGCACUGAAUCAAUGUGAAGUUUCAUUAUUAGCUCAGAAUCAGAAUCUAUCUUUCAUACUUUGUAGUAGUGUGGUUUAUUGUGAUGUCACUGUCUGACUUAGGUGACAGUGAUUUUCUAAAGGGCAAAGACUAGGUUUAAUGCACCUUUGUGUUCUUAGUGCCACAUAUACUUUGAUAUACAGAAAAAGGUCACUGGCCAGAAGAACAAGAACAAGAAGAAGGUAGCUCUUGAAAUCAAAAGUUAACAACAGACUUUUAAAAAGACUCACAGAAAUUAAUUUUAUGGUUCCAGCGUGAAUGUUUUCAUAGAACACUUCAAGGCUUGUAAUCACUGCUGCCAAACAUUUGGAAUCAACUACAAGUACAUAAAACUGAAAAAUGAUCUUAAACUAUCAAUGCAUCAUGUCAGAUUUUAAUUUGUAGGUGAAAACUGUACAAUGGAUAAAACACUUACUGCUAUUUCUGUAGUUGAAUCCAGAGAGAUACUUUUUUUGGUACCAGGGAUCUUAGGACCUCGCGCUUGCCAGGCGGGCACUAUGCCGUUGAGCUAAAUCCCCGGCCCAGAGAGAUACUUCUUAUAGAAGAACAAAACCUUAUGGUAAAUAACACCCAAAUGUGGUGAACUCUUAAGCAUUUUUCCCUUCAAGUGUGAAGGAAAGUGUGAUAUAUGCCAUGGAGAGGCAUCUGGAACACAAUUUAAAAUAAAGCCUUAAGAUUGCUCUUCUACUCCUUCACACACAGUUAUUUAU